rnacentral:lncRNA from 10 species
GUUUCUGUGUCUAUGGCUUCAUACUGUCCAGACAUAGACCUGGGGCUCAGCACACAUGUAUGUUUGAGUGGCAUAAGGUCAGAAGCACAGAUCCAGCAAAGACUGUGGCCCGGAGGAAGGUGGGUUGGUUGGAGGAAAGAAAGUGGAGGUGGGAGCAAACGAAGAUAAGUAAACAAAAAAAUGAGCUCUUAAGCAAAAAAGAUUGCCUGUCUGCUGUAGCCUGUAAAGCUCUGAUGAGAAACACUUUUAUGAUUUGCUGGUAAACUCCACCCAAUUUGGUUCUGGAAGAGGUUAUUUUUCAUUGCAGUGUAAGCAUGUAAUUAGUUAAUUGGGAAAUAUGGCGCCAUUUUCAAAGCUCACUUUCAUCUGUCAUCUCACUUACACCUCCCUGUGACCCUGGGAGAUUGGUUUUAUUAUGCCCAUUUUACAGAUGUGGAAACUGAAGCUCGGAGAGGUGAACCCCCUAAAAAGAAAUUGGAGAGGCUUAUCCUGACUCAUCCGUGGUCCCUGAUUCCUUGUGCCUGAGAUGCAGACUGUGGCUUGGGAAUAGGGGAGGGCUCAGAGGGCUGGAGCUCAGCUGAGUGGCCGGAUGUUCCCUCACAGGGUACCCUCCUUUGGCUUCCUGUUGACCCUAGUAGUUGUCAAUAGUGCUGCAGGUGCUCCACGCCUUCCCACCCUCUGGAUGAAGCUCAUCCUAAGGAAUUAGCAUCUCAUUUCUAAUUCUCAGGUCCUCAGGAAUCAGACUUGUAUUUUGGGUCAAAUUUGCAUACCUUGGGGCUUCUGUUUUCUCAAGCUAUGUAUGGACCCCAGAGCAAAUCCCAACCAUGGUUCAAUAUCAGCCUCUGGGAAUCUGCAGAUCACUGGAAGCCAGGCUGCCCACGCUUUCUGGAAGCCACUUCCUAGUGAAGGAGCCCUGGAGGAAAGAGGCAAUGGUAUAGGAGUCUCCCUAAAGUGAGAAGUGUGGAGCCCAGCACUUCAACUAUGUCUGUGGGUGGAGCCAAAAUAACCAGUUGCUCCUGAUCGCUGCAUGUCAGCAAUUGUAUCACAACAAGAGGCCACAGGGCAUCACCCUACCCAACACUGUGAUGGGGGCCGGGGUCACAUGUGCUUAAGUGUCUCUGUAAAUCAGCCCUUCAGUUGGGAUUAAGACAGUUCAGGAUCCCAAGAACACACAUGCACACACACAACCCACUUGCACAUACAUGUGUGCAGUCACACUUCCAGAGACACACAUAGACAUACAUAUGUAUACACACAUGUGCGUGUGUGCACACAGGUAUUCACAUGCACACACACACGCACACUUAUACACUAACACACAUGUGCAUAUGUGCACGCAUGCACACACACACACACACCCCACUCCUUUUGCUUGCUUCACCUUUUCUGUCUCUGCUCCUCCUGGUGGUCAUCACCUCCCAUGCCCUGUCUCCUGUAUCAAUGCCCCAGGACUACCUACUAUAACAAAGUGUCACAAAGUGGGUGGUUUAAAGCAACAGAAAUGUAUCCUUUCACAGUUCUGGAGGCUAGAAAUCCAAGAUCAUGGUGUCUAUAAGGUUGGUUCCUUUUAAGUGCAGUGAGGAAAGAGCUGGCUCCAGCCCUCUCUCCCAUUGGCUGGUAGAUGAUCAUCUUCUCCCUGUGUCUCUUCAUGUCACUUUCCCUCCUUGCCCCUCUCUGUGUCCAAAUUCCC